AGUGGGAUAGCUGGGUCAAAUGGUGGUUCCAUUCCCAAUUUUCCAAGAAAUAUCCAAUACUGUUUUCCAUAUUGGCUGUACCAUUUUUCAGUCCCACCAGCAAU
rnacentral:pre_miRNA from 1 species